UGCUGCUGGAAAUCCCUGUUAAAGAAGUGGUAACAGAUGCUCACAGACAGAUCUCAGCCUUACUAGAUCCAACAUGAGGAAAAUACAAAGACUGGGGUCUGACACACUCUCUGGACAUCUGGCACGCAGCAAAGAACCUGGCCAAAAAAUUGCACGCUGCUGGCUCUGUCAAACUACAGUCAGGGAUCCAUCAGUGGAUGAGACAUAUUGUCAAUCACUUCUGGUACUGCUGUAAACAUGCAGUAACAGAGGAGAAAUUCAAA